rnacentral:rRNA from 1 species
UACGGGGGGAGCAAGCGUUGUUCGGAAUUACUGGGCGUAAAGGGCGCGUAGGCGGCCAUCUAAGUCAGACGUGAAAUCCCCCGGCUUAACCUGGGAACUGCGUCUGAUACUGGACGGCUUGAGUAUGGGAGAGGGAUGUAGAAUUCCAGGUGUAGCGGUGAAAUGCGUAGAUAUCUGGAGGAAUACCGGUGGCGAAGGCGGCAUCCUGGACCAUUACUGACGCUGAGGCGCGAAAGCUAGGGGAGCAAACGGG